UACGUAGGUGACCAGCGUUGUCCGGAUUUACUGGGCGUAAAGAGCGCGCAGGCGGUCGUUCAAGUCGAGUGUGAAAGCCCCCGGCUCAACUGGGGAGGGUCAUUCGAUACUGAUCGACUUGAAGGCAGGAGAGGGAAGUGGAAUUCCAGGUGUAGCGGUGAAAUGCGUAGAUAUCUGGAGGAACACCGGUGGCGAAGGCGGCAUCCUGGACCGAUACUGACGCUGAGGAGCGAAAGCCAGGGGAGCAAAGCGGG
rnacentral:rRNA from 1 species